GAUUAGGGACUAUGCUGAGGAGAAGCUGCAUCUUAUGUGAGACUAGAGGAGGCCACCCCUGCAGUAGACUGGUGGCCUACACAGGCUGGUAGUAGCUGCAGCUUGCGUAUGGGAAUAAAGAGAGAGAAGUGAAUGCCAAGGAAAGAGCCAGCAGAUCAGGAUCUCCCUGCUACUCACACUGUGAAGACAGAAGCGAGAAAGAGCCACUUUGCGUGUGGCUGGCUUCAGAAGUCAGAACAGGCUGGGGAGGUUCCUAAGGUGACUGCCCUGGAGCUUCUGAGCCUACUCUGGCUUAGGAGGCUGGCUGAUUCAUGACUCAUUAAUUGCUCAAUUAAACUCCUUUAAAUUUAA